GUCUGCAAAGUCUCCAUGUGUGAAGAGCCCACAGUGCCUCGGGAAAAAUUGGCUGAAUAAAAGGAGAAUUGAUCCACCAGAUGGAAAGAACACCAGAUUUUUUCCAGUGCUACCUUCUGUCUCCAUCUCAAUGAUCCCUUUUGCUCUGCUGAUGAUGACAGUUUCUCCUUCAUAGUCUCUCCCGCCUUCUCCAGACCAGGCUGGGAGGCAUCAGGGAUGCCCACCCCAGCCCCGAACACCCACUUACCCCAUUGGUGUCUGGCCACCUUCAUGUGUGCCAGCUUAAGUGGUUCUCCUAAAUUGCCUCCAGAGAGGUGGUGAACCAGCUACUCCGUCCUCCAGAGAAGAACCUGGCCAGCUCAAGCCUCCAUUGACCCUCUCCACAGCAUUUACUCUCAAAAAUACAAUUCCAGUACAGUAAAGAUUCUAGUCUCCCGGCGUGGAUUUCCAAUUACCCACACUCGGCCAAGUGGCAGCC